UGUGUGUGUGUGUAAGUGGAGCAGCACUAAGGGAGACGGCAGCAUCCUGUCUUGUAGACCUGCGUCACUGGAGACAGAGUGUCAGUGACUUGGAUAAUGGAACCAAUGGCACCAGAACCUUUCGGAUCAAAGCAAUUGGUUAUCAAUGAAGAUGAACAGGAAGGUGAGAAGAGAUGAGAACGUGAGAGGACGUGAGUACAGUCCGGAGGAAUGGUGGCUCCUUGGUUUUGCCAGAGCACGUGAUCACUUCUUAUGGUUGGGUUGGUACAAUCUGUGGGCCAUGCACAGUGUCUGGGGAGACAGAGUGGUCUGCUCCAGGGCAAAGAGAGUGGAAUCUGUGACUACAGCGGAGUCAACCUAAGUUCAGAGUGCUGUACUGCAGCCAGAGGAGGUCUAGUGUUUCCAGUAGCAAGUCCAGCCGUGGCUUUUAUAUCUUGUCUGUAUUAUGUUUCCCCUUUCCUCCAUCUGUCUCUUCUUUUUCCUGUUUAAGUCCUUUAUGUCCACUGGGUGGCCUUCUGUCU
rnacentral:lncRNA from 1 species